rnacentral:rRNA from 1 species
UCCUACGGGAAGGCAGCAGUGGGGAAUUUUCCGCAAUGGGCGAAAGCCUGACGGAGCAAUACCGCGUGAGGGACGAAGGCUUUUGGGUCGUAAACCUCUUUUCCCUGAGAAGAAGAUCUGACGGUAUCAGGGGAAUCAGCAUCGGCUAACUUCGUGUCAGCAGCCGCCGGUAAUACGAGGGAUGCAAGCGUUAUCCGGAAUUAUUGGGCGCAAAGCGUCCGCAGGUGGCUCUGUAAGUCUGUCGUUAAAGAAUGGGGCUCAACCCCAUACAGGCGAUGGAAACUACAAGGCUAGAGUUUGGUAGGGGUCACGGGAAUUCCUAGUGUAGCGGUGAAAUGCGUAGAUAUUAGGAAGAACACCAGCGGCGAAAGCGCGUGAAUGGGCCAGUACUGACACUCAUGGACGAA